GGGCCUGCCCAGUGAUAUUUCAACGGCCGCGGUACUCUGACCGUGCAAAGGUAGCAUAAUCAUUUGCCCUAUAAUUAAGGGCUAGUAUGAACGGUCUAACAAGAAUGGGACUGUCUCUUUUAAAAUCCUUAGAAUUUGGUCUUUAGGUGAAGAAACCUAAAUUAUAUUGAUAGACAAGAAGACCCUAUCGAGCUUUAAAACAAUUAGUUAAACAAAUAGAUAACACUAACUUUAGCUAAAAAUUUUGGUUGGGGCGACUAAGGAACAAACAAAGCUUCCUUAAUAAAUUCUACACUAAUAAGUAAUGAUCCAAAAUAUUUGAUUAAUAAAAUUAGUUACCGUAGGGAUAACAGCAUAAUCUUCUUCAAGAGUUCUUAUCGAAAAGAAUGUUUGUGACCUCGAUGUUGGACUAGGAUAUCCAAAAGAUGCAGAAGUCUUUAAAGGUUGGUCUGUUCGACCAAUAAAAUCCUACGUGAUCUAUCU
rnacentral:rRNA from 2 species